CAAAGAAUAGUUUAAAAAAAACCUCAGUUUUGGGUAUUGAAAAUAGUUCACUUUUUUUGA
rnacentral:tRNA from 1 species